CACUAGUUUGAGGUUGGAAAACCAGGAUAUGUGAGCCCGCAUAGAAAAAUACAAUUGGCCAUACAUUUCAAACAGCAAGUUUCCUGUUUCUGUUACGGUUAAUGUUUCACAAACAAUCUCUUUUAUGUAGAACAAAAUGAAAUCGAAAGCUUUGGACAGUAAAAAAUGAUAUGAGUACUACAUACGAAAUAGUGAUAAUCUAUUAAAGGAUUCAAAAAUGGUUGAACAAUUUGGAUCGAAAACUCUUAUGAAUGAUGAUUUUGCGGUGUUUGUUCAAAUUUGUGCAACCCACCUAUACAUAAACAUUUUACAAUAUAUAACAGUUACUUUACAGUUUGGCAAACUGUUCAUUGGACUGAUAUGUUUGUGAGCUAUUUUCAAGUUCAUCACCCUAAAAAAAUUACACUGCUAUAGCUUUCGCUUUAUACGUUCCCCAUAAUUAUUAAAUUAUUUUUGUCGUUUCCAGACAAUUUGAUAAAAAUCUGAACAAUUUUUUGAUGAUUUCUAUAUUUUUAAUCGAAUAGGUUAGCAAAAAAACAAAACAAAAUAUGUUCAAUAUGUUUGGCACAUUCAUUUUCACUGCGUAGAAUAUUUUUGGCGUGUUUUUCAUCGCGCAUUGUCUUGAAAAAAAAAACAAACAAACCAACGAAAACAUUUUCUGCUGCUGCUGGUUCAUUUUUAUUAAAAUACACAUCUAAUUGAGCACCGGAUUCGAAAUCGAUGCUUACUUGUGAUGCGAGGCAUUGGAAAUAGCAGUUCUGGUCGCUUCCAUCAAGCCACGAAAACGUUGAGAACACCGGACACAACCCGAAAUAAACAAGCAGGCAAACGAGGCAAACUGAGCCCGUUCUCAUAGCUUCGGUUGCUGCUGCCUGAUAGUGAAGGGAGUCAGGUAAGCUGUGGACCUGGAGAGGAUGUCCGGAACUUGAUACACUCGUCUCAUUCGGCUAUCGCCUGCAUGACUAACCCCAGCUUCACAGGUACGAAGACGUGGCCAAGCUGCCGGAUGGAAAAAUGAGUCCGUUUGUGUAUAUUAUGACAUGACAUGAUGAAUCCAAUUCAAGCGAAAGUAUGUAAAGUAAUUAAGAAAAAUUGAUACAUAAUAAAAUUUUAAACAC